AUAACCCCGGGAAACUGGGGAUAAUACCCCAUAGACUAUAGAUGCUGGAAUGCUUUGUAGUUGAAAGGUCAGCCGCCAUAGGAUGGGUCUGCGGCCGAUUAGGUAGUUGUUGGGGUAACGGCCCAACAAGCCUGUAAUCGGUACGGGUUGUGGGAGCAAGAGCCCGGAGAUGGAUUCUGAGACACGAAUCCAGGCCCUACGGGGCGCAGCAGGCGCGAAAACUUUACAAUGCGGGAAACCGUGAUAAGGGAACUCCGAGUGCCCGUUAAAUCGGGCUGUCCACCAGUUUAAAAAACUGGUGAAGAAAGGGCCGGGCAAGACCGGUGCCAGCCGCCGCGGUAAUACCGGCGGCUCGAGUGGUGGCCACUAUUACUGGGCUUAAAGCGUUCGUAGCUGGUUUGUUAAGUCUCUGGGGAAAUCUUCCGGCUUAACCGGAAGGCGUCUCAGGGAUACUGGCAGACUAGGGACCGGAAGAGGUGAGGGGUACUCCAGGGGUAGGGGUGAAAUCCUGUAAUCCUUGGGGGACCACCUGUGGCGAAGGCGCCUCACCAGGACGGCUCCGACAGUGAGGGACGAAAGCUGGGGGAGCAAACCGGAUUAGAUACCCGGGUAGUCCCAGCCGUAAACGAUGUGCGUUAGGUGUAUCGGUGACCACGAGUCACCGAGGUGCCGAAGAGAAAUCGUGAAACGUACCGCCUGGGAAGUACGGUCGCAAGGCUGAAACUUAA
rnacentral:rRNA from 1 species